AUCCGUCAUCACUGUCAUCAAUCCAAUAUACAGGCAAAAAUGAAAUCUGAAAACGUGGAAUAAAAAUCAUCAAGAUUCUAUUUUUAUUUUAUCUUUUAUUGAGUAGUCGCUUGCUAGUAUUUCAAGAUGGAUUUUAUUGUAGAUACAGUGGGAAACGAUGAGCUCCAGUUGGCUACAGAGCUGAAUGAUGAAGAACAAAAGCCCAUAUUUGUAGACAAAGCAGCUAGAUUUGAAAGCAUCCUAGCCCUAUGUCAGCGCAAGAAAGAAGAAAUGGAUGCCUUAAUCUUGAAAGAAGACGAAGUUCAAAGGAAGCUAUGCCCUAAAACUGAUGCCAUGUUUGAAGCUUUCUUUGAAGAAAUGAACUGGACAAGUGCUGUAGUUAAGAAGUUUAAGAAGAAACCGAAACUAUUCCAUUUCGAACAGCUAGAUAUAGAUACAGGUAAACUCAAGUCCCAACUGAGUGUGGUGGACAUAGAAAAGGAGAUGAAGAAGUCAGUUCUCCAGCCGGGUAUGGAGCAGCUGCACCGUCUCCCGAAAUAUGCUGUGAGCGAUAAGAAGUUGAGGAUCAUGAGAAAGAAGGAAAGAGCCAAGACCAAAGGCCCUGGCUGGUUCAACCUCCCAGCUCCCGAAGUAACGAAAGAGUUGAAGAAUGACCUGCAGAUCCUCAAGAUGCGGUCUGUACUGGACCCCAAGCACUUCUACAAGAAGAAUGAUAUGGAAUCUCUGCCCAAGUACUUCCAGGUUGGUAAAGUUAUGGAUUCAUCUCUAGACCACGUAAACGAGCGGCUAACACGUAAACAACGAAAACGCACCAUGGUAGACGAGCUGCUCGCCGACUCGGAGUUCCAGAAAUACAACAAGAAGAAAUAUAAAGAGAUCAUUGCAGAGAAACGGAACGCACAGUACAGGACGUUCAUGAAGGAUAAGAGACAGAAGAAUAAAGCGGAGCUUAAGAAUAAAGUUAAAGGGAAGAAGAGUAAGAAUUGAGAAGUAAAUGUUUUCAAUAAUACCCUCUGUAAUGGCAUAGCUAUUUAAUAAUACGUUCUCCAAAAAUGUCUAUUUGAUUUACUUGAUAUUGGUUUAUAAAGUCACACCAUGGCACAAUUUGCAGUCUUCACGCUUCGUCUAUCCCUUUUUUAUGCUAUCUUUUUGAGCGAAAUGGAGUUCCUUCUUAAUUUGGGCCUUGUCAAAAUAUAUCCUACUUAAGCUUUCUUUUGGAGGCGUGUACUAUCUCCAACUGCACCAAUUUUCUUCCAUUAUCCGGAAAGGAUCUUCUAUGCAACAUUAUUUGACUCCAUUUGCCAAAAAAAUAAGAAAGGAAUAAGAGGUCAAGAAGAUAUGAUUGACAGUAGGCCAAACGCAAACGAAAUGAGACAUUUAAAGGCUCGUGAAUCUUCGAACUGAAAAGUUAAGGAUACCAUCUAUUACAUCUAUUAUUUCAAUUGGGCUGCUUUGUAAGCCAUAUCCCGGGUGCGUCAUCAACCACUGGUUUCCAGCGGGCACAAUUGAAAUUGUACGCUAGACAGAAAUCGGAACAAUUAUAAGCUGGAGAAGAUAAAAAAUUGAGAAUAGGUCUGAUAUAAGGAAAAACUAUGUAAUCGUUUUUGUAACAACAAGUUAUCGGUGAGUUGAAUAAGAUUUACCGACAUCAUUUCACGAGACAUCGGAGCGUGCUGUUACCAUAGAUGACGAUUUCGGUACUGUUUUAUUGAACUCAUGGGAAGGUUUUAAAAAAAUGGUAACUGAUACACAUGCAACGAGGAUGUAUUUAAGGAAGGACAACAGAAUAAGAAUCACAAAAAGAAUACCUUAUCAUCGUAAUCAUCGGUGAUUUGAAUAAGAUUUGACUGAAAUCACGAUAGUCUAUAUCAAACAAUAAAUAGAGACCACCUAUAAUGAUGGUGAUUUCAGUUUUAACUGAUUUGAAUCACGGAAAGGAAUUAUCGCUCCGAGGACAGAGCAAGACAUCUUAUGUUACCGGUGAAUUGAAUAAGAUGCUAUUGAAAUCAAUAAUACACCACUCUACAAAGGCACCGUGAACCAAAACAAUGAUGAUUUCACAGUCAUCUUAUUUGAAACAUGGAAAGGACUAACAUACUUGUAUGGACAUGCUUUAACGCGUUAAGAACUUCCUAAAGCAACUGAAUAAGUUUUUAUUGAGGCUCCUUUACGAGACAGAUAUACAGCCACUAAGUAAAAAUAUAGAAAUUUAGAACCGGAUGAACCUCGAAAUAGCGCUAGUUUUAUGCAUGAAGCCUGCGUAAAAAGAGGACCUUUUUGGUUUGGUUUGAUAUAAAACAUGGAAAGGAUAUAAAUAUAGUAAAUGCCACGAAGAACUUU